GCGUGUGGGGUUGUGAGCCACCAUCUCCCCCUCUGAUGCUGCCCUCCAGCAUUGGGAGGCUUCCCGACAGUUAGAAUGUUAUUAGAAAACAAUGAUUGGGAAAACAUUUGAUUAGUGGAUGGCGACAGCCAGACAGUACCCAAAACAAAAAGAAAAGAGUCGAAACCCCAAAUAUCGUAGGGGCCAGAAUCCUCUAUGAAAUAUCAUAUGGGAAUAGAUCCGAAUGGCCCCGCCAGGAAUCCCAGUUACAUAUGUACAUCCCUUGUACAAUGCACCCUCGACGGCUACGAACAGCAGGUAUUUGGAGAGAGCUACUCGUAAUAAACAAUAGCUCCAGUCAAUGGGCAAGACGGUUUGACAGUUAUUUGGCAGCUUUUGAUUACAGGUUGCGUGACUUUAUCUCAAACUGAAUUUUCGCGUGUGGAACCGGUUUUGGCCGACUUCGGUGAAUACCAAGGGUCUGAUAGCCACAUGACAAGCGUGUGACUGGCUGUCUGGCUGGGGGAUGACGCUCCAUUCGGCUGCUGCGCCAUAGGUGAUCUUGGGACUUGGACGUGGAACAUUUACAGCCACCAUUGUAACACCUGCAUACGUCAGGAGCUAGGAGCUUGGAUUUGAUAAGGCCAAUUCCAGAGAGCAGUCCCAAAGGUCCCCGGGAAUAUUUUGGAGCGUCGUCAACAGAAAACAAAUUCUAAAUCCGCAAAACAACCUCGAUUUACCCUUAUCAUUGGAAAGCACACGCUUCUAUCGUUGGAGAUAAGCAGCAAUGAGGACUCGAGGAAACCUCCAGACACACCCAUUUUUCAAGUGGCGACUGCAGCCCAGCACAGCCCCGCCGCAAUGCCUAAUACCUUAACUAGUUUCAAUGAAUUUAUGGCCCCUUCCUCAAGGCCACUGCCGUGCCACUAUUGGACAUUUAACGAUCCAAUUUCUGGUCCAAAUUGGCACUGUCUCAAAGGAAACGAUGAACCACAAUUUAGGCACGGCAUUCGACAGCUUAAAUAUACAAUAGCAGAGCCCAUUGCAUGACAGGGGCGUGUCGCAAAACGUCCCAUUGGAGUCUGUCAUGCAUCUUACCCC